rnacentral:rRNA from 1 species
GAGUUUGAUCAUGGCUCAGGAUGAACGCUGGCGGCGUGCUUAACACAUGCAAGUCGAACGGGGGAUGUACAGCGGGAAGAUUUCGGUCGGACCAAGUGCAUGCCUAGUGGCGGACGGGUGAGUAACGCGUGGGUAACCUGCCUUACACAGGGGGAUAACACUUACAAAUAGGUGCUAAUACCGCAUGAGCGCACAGGACCGCAUGGUCGAGUGUGAAAAACUGAGGUGGUGUAAGAUGGACCCGCGUCUGAUUAGCUAGUUGGUGAGGUAACGGCCCACCAAGGCGACGAUCAGUAGCCGGCCUGAGAGGGUGAACGGCCACAUUGGGACUGAGACACGGCCCAAACUCCUACGGGAGGCAGCAGUGGGGGAUAUUGGACAAUGGGGGGAACCCUGAUCCAGCGACGCCGCGUGAGUGAAGAAGUAUCUCGGUAUGUAAAGCUCUAUCAGCAGGGAAGAAGAAAUGACGGUACCUGAGUAAGAAGCCCCGGCUAACUACGUGCCAGCAGCCGCGGUAAUACGUAGGGGGCAAGCGUUAUCCGGAAUUACUGGGUGUAAAGGGAGCGUAGACGGUGAUGUAAGUCUGGAGUGAAAGGCGGGGGCCCAACCCCCGGAUUGCUCUGGAAACUAUGUGACUGGAGUGCAGGAGAGGUGAGCGGAAUUCCUAGUGUAGCGGUGAAAUGCGUAGAUAUUAGGAGGAACACCAGUGGCGAAGGCGGCUCACUGGACUGUAACUGACGUUGAGGCUCGAAAGCGUGGGGAGCAAACAGGAUUAGAUACCCUGGUAGUCCACGCCGUAAACGAUGGAUACUAGGUGUGGGGGGACUGACCCCCUCCGUGCCGCAGCUAACGCAAUAAGUACCCCACCUGGGGAGUACGAUCGCAAGGUUGAAACUCAAAGGAAUUGACGG